GAAGGAACCAGAUCUAGGGUUUCAGGGAUAGAUCUUGAAAUUUUUUCAAGAUCAGGCAGCGGAAGACUAAAAUAAAUCAAAAUUUAUCUUAUAAAACCAGAAAAUUCCUAGAUCUAAAAUUCUAUUAUAUGAUUAUUACAUGGCAUUAAAUCAAAAAUUAAAAUAUAAAGAGCAAGAACUACAUGUUGAUCUAUCAACAUGUUUCUAUACUACAUCUAAUGUAUGUAAAAUAUAAUAGAUCAGAUCUAUUACCUUGCAAGUUAGAUGUUCUAAUUUUGCUGAUCCAAGCUUGAGGAUGAUGUUGCGAGCGGUACAUGCAUCCAACCUCUAAGAGUCAUCCACACAAGCCCACGAAUCACAAUCAAAAAUUCUGGUCCAGGAAAUCAGCACAGUAUGCUAGUAGUGCUGAUCCUUCUUCAAUGAUCGAUCAGAUGCCUCCUUCUUCUUGAUUUGAACUCUUCCAAAGAUGAGAAGUAGGAGAAGGAGUUUUAUAUGAGACACUCUCAAAAAACUUACAGAUGGAGGAAGGGAAGAGAUGAACCCAGCAACUCUAGAAGAAGACCCUCUUCUUCUUCUAUUUGCUCUAACCCUGACACCUAAUUUUGUGUCUAUUAGAUAUCCAUGCCCCAAGACUCUUUCUCCUUGAUUUUUGGAUGCCCCAAAGAUAUCUCAAUGCUCUAUGUUUCAUAAAAAAUUUAUAAAAGAAUUCAUUUUAAAUANNN
rnacentral:lncRNA from 1 species